AUGGACAAGAUCUCGAGAGCAUCAUUUUUAAUUCUAGGACUUCACCUGGCAUGGGUGAGCAGCCAACAGAAGGAGAAAAGUGGCCAGCAGCAGGUGAAGCAAAGUCCUUGGUCUCUGACUGUCCAGGAAGGAGAGAUUUCAAUUCUGAACUGUACGUAUGAAGACAGUUCAUUUUACUACUUCCCCUGGUACCGGCAAUUCCCUGGAAAAGGUCCUGAAUUACUGAUAGACAUACAUGAAAAUGUGAAUAAAAAGAAUGACAGAAGAUUCACAGUCUACUUCAGUAAAGGUGCCAAAGAGCUCUCCCUACAUAUCAGGAAGACCCAGCCUGGAGACUCAGCCACCUACUUCUGUGCAGCGAGCACACAGUGCUCUCCAGGCACCUGCAGCCUGUGCCCAAAUUGCAUGUGGGGCUCCUGA